CAAGGGGGAGCUAUGGGGCUUGAAGGGAUGCUAUGGGGCACAAGGAUCUAUGGGACACAAGGAGGAGCUGUGGGGCACAAGGAUCUAUGGGGCACAAGGAAGAGCUAUGGGGCACAAGGAGGAACUGUGGGACUUGAAGGGAUGCUAUGGGGCACAAGGAUCUAUGGGGCAGAAGGAGGAGUUAUGGGGGUACAAAGCAGAGCUAUGGGGCACAAGGAUCUAUGGGGCACAAGGAGGAGCUGUGGGGCACAGAGAGAUGCUAUGGGGCAGAAGGAGGAGCUAUGGGGCUGUGGGGCACAAGAAGGAUCUAUGGGGCACAAGGAGGAGCUAUGGGGCUUGAAGGGAUGCUAUGGGGCACAAAGAGGAGCUAUGGGGCACAAGGAUCUAUGGGGCACAAGACGAGCUAUGGGGCACAGAGGGAUGUUGUGGGGUGCAAGGAGGAGCUAUGGGGCAGAAAGGGAUGGUAUGGGGCACAAGGGGGACCUAUGGGGCACAGAGCAGAGCUAUGGGGCACAGAGCAGAGCUAUGGGGCAGCCGUGGGGUGACACCAUCUCUCCCCCCACCCCCUCAGAUCUGACCGCGGUCUGUCACGGAAACAAGUGCUGGAAGGGCUGCGCGGCGCCCUGCAGCGGCUGCAGAUGGAUUACGUCGAUGUGGUUUUCAUUGGGCCCCGGCCUGGCCCCGCCCACACCGAGGGGCCCGACCCGACCCUGCGCCUCCUGCGGCUCGAAGGUACUGGGGGCCGCAGCCCCGUGUAGCCCCAUAGCCGCCCCAUAGCUGCCCCAUAGCCGCCCCAUAGCUGCCCCAUAGCCGCCCCAUAGCUGCCCCACAGCUGCCCCGUAGCCGCCCCAUAGCCGCCCCAUAGCUGCCCUAUAGCCGCCCCAUAGCCGCCCCAUAGCCGCCCCAUAGCCAUCCCAUAGGUGCCCCAUNNNNNNNNNNNNNNNNNNNNNNNNNCAGCUGCCCCAUAGCCGCCCCAUAGCCGCCCCAUAGCUGCCCUAUUGCCGCCCCAUUGCUGCCCUAUAGCCACCCCAUAGCUGCCCCAUAGCUGCCCUAUAGCUGCCCCAUAGCUGCCAUAUAGCUGCCC
rnacentral:lncRNA from 1 species